GAUGAAUGCUGGCGGCGUGCCUAACACAUGCAAGUCGAGCGGCAGCGCGGAGAGUUUACUCUCUGGCGGCGAGCGGCGGACGGCUGAGUAACGCGUGGGAACGUGCCCCAAAGUGAGGAAUAACUGCCCGAAAGGGUAGCUAAUGCCGCAUAUGGUCUUCGGAUUAAAGGAUUUAUCCGCUUUGGGAGCGGCCCGCGUUAGAUUAGGUAGUUGGUAGGGUAAUGGCCUACCAAGCCGACGAUCUAUAGCUGGUCUGAGAGGAUGAUCAGCCAGACUGGGACUGAGACACGGCCCAGACUCCUACGGGAGGCAGCAGUGAGGAAUCUUCCACAAUGGGCGAAAGCCUGAUGGAGCAACGCCGCGUGAAGGAUGAAGGCCCUCGGGUUGUAAACUUCUUUUAUAAGUGAAGAAUAUGACGGUAACUUAUGAAUAAGCACCGGCUAACUACGUGCCAGCAGCCGCAGUAA
rnacentral:rRNA from 1 species